GACGAACGCUGGCGGCGUGCUUAACACAUGCAAGUCGAACGGAAAGGCCCUGCUUUUGUGGGGUGCUCGAGUGGCGAACGGGUGAGUAACACGUGAGUAACCUGCCCUUGACUUUGGGAUAACUUCAGGAAACUGGGGCUAAUACCGGAUAGGAGCUCCUGCUGCAUGGUGGGGGUUGGAAAGUUUCGGCGGUUGGGGAUGGACUCGCGGCUUAUCAGCUUGUUGGUGGGGUAGUGGCUUACCAAGGCUUUGACGGGUAGCCGGCCUGAGAGGGUGACCGGCCACAUUGGGACUGAGAUACGGCGCAGACUCCUACGGGAGGCAGCAGGGGGGAAUAUUGCACAGUGGGCGGAAGCCUGAUGCAGCAACGCCGCGUGCGGGAUGACGGCCUUCGGGUUGUAAACCGCUUUCGCCUGUGACGAAGCGUGAGUGACGGUAAUGGGUAAAGAAGCACCGGCUAACUACGUG
rnacentral:rRNA from 1 species